AGCUCCAAUAGCGUAUAUUAAAGUUGUUGUGGUUAAAAAGCUCGUAGUUGGAUUUCGGCGGGGAGUGGGUGGUUUGAAUUUAUUCAACACUUACUUUUUUACCCGGGUGUUUUGCCAGGAUCUUUCGGGGGGUCUUUUUCGGUUGUCCGUUGGAACUGGCAGGUUUACUUUGAAAAAAUUAGAGUGCUCAAAGCAAGCUUACUGCUUGAAUAGUUGCGCAUGGAAUAAUAGAAUAGGAAGUCGUUUCUAUUUUGUUGGUUUUCGGAAAUCGACUUAAUGAUUAAUAGGGAUAGUCGGGGGCAUUCGUAUUCAAACGACAGAGGUGAAAUUCUUGGACCGUUUGAAGACGAACUAAGGCGAAAGCAUUUGCCAAGAAUGUUUUCA
rnacentral:rRNA from 1 species